GAAUAUUGGACAAUGGGCGAGAGCCUGAUCCAGCCAUGCCGCGUGCAGGAAGACUGCCUUAUGGGUUGUAAACUGCUUUUGUACGAGAAGAAACACUCCUACGUGUAGGAGCUUGACGGUAUUGUACGAAUAAGGAUCGGCUAACUCCGUGCCAGCAGCCGCGGUAAUACGGAGGAUCCGAGCGUUAUCCGGAAUUAUUGGGUUUAAAGGGUCCGUAGGCGGGCAAUUAAGUCAGCGGUGAAAUCUUGCAGCUCAACUGCAAGCCUGCCGUUGAUACUGGUUGUCUUGAAUUGAUGUGAAGUGGCUAGAAUAUGUGGUGUAGCGGUGAAAUGCAUAGAUAUCACAUGGAAUACCGAUUGCGAAGGCAGGUCACUAACAUUAUAUUGACGCUGAUGGACGAAAGCGUGGGGAUCAAACA
rnacentral:rRNA from 1 species